rnacentral:rRNA from 1 species
UACGUAGGGUGCAAGCGUUAAUCGGAAUUACUGGGCGUAAAGCGUGCGCAGGCGGUUAUUUAAGUCAGAUGUGAAAGCCCCGGGCUUAACCUGGGAAUUGCGUUUGAAACUAAAUGACUAGAGUCUGUCAGAGGGGGGUGGAAUUCCACGUGUAGCAGUGAAAUGCGUAGAGAUGUGGAGGAACACCAAUGGCGAAGGCAGCCCCCUGGGUUAACACUGACGCUCAGGCACGAAAGCGUGGGGAGCAAACAGG